UACGUAGGGGGCUAGCGUUGUCCGGAAUCAUUGGGCGUAAAGCGCGUGUAGGCGGUCCGGUAAGUCCGCUGUGAAAGUCGGGGGCUCAACCCUCGGAUGCCGGUGGAUACUGUCGGGCUUGAGUACGGAAGAGGCGAGUGGAAUUCCUGGUGUAGCGGUGAAAUGCGCAGAUAUCUGGAGGAACACCGGUGGCGAAGGCGGCAUCCUGGACCGGUAUUGACGCUGAGGCGCGAAAGCCAGGGGAGCAAAGCGGG
rnacentral:rRNA from 1 species